rnacentral:misc_RNA from 1 species
GAGAUGAGGCGCUCGCGGAGAGUUGCCGUCCUAUUCUUUCUACACUGUGAAGCGGACAAAACCAUCUUUACCCAAAGUGAAGAAUGUCAAAUUUACUAUAAGAAU